rnacentral:rRNA from 1 species
ACGGGGUGCAGCAGGCGCGAAAACUUCGCAAUGCGCGAAAGCGCGACGAGGGAAUCCCAAGUGCUUGCUCGUUAGAGUAAGCUGUUUCUAUGUCUAAAACGCAUAGAGAGUAAGGGCUGGGUAAGACGGGUGCCAGCCGCCGCGGUAAUACCUGCAGCUCAAGUGGUGGCCGCUAUUAUUGGGCCUAAAACGUCCGUAGCCGGUUUAUUAAAUGCCUGGGUAAAUCGUGUAGCUUAACUAUACGAAUUCCGGGUAGACUGAUAAACCUGAGAUCGGGAGAAGUUAGAGGUACUCCUGGGGUAGAGGUGAAAUUCUGUAAUCCUAGGGGGACCACCAGUGGCGAAGGCGUCUGACUAGAACGAGUCUGACGGUGAGGGACGAAGCCCUGGGGCGCAAACGGGAUUAGAUACCCCGGUAGUCCAGGGUGUAAACGCUGCCUGCUUGAUGUUAGUCGGGCUCCGAGCCCGAUUAGUGUCGGAGAGAAGUUGUUAAGCAAGCUGCCUGGGAAGUACGGCCGCAAGACUGAAACUUAAAGGAAUUGGCGGGGGAGCAC